rnacentral:lncRNA from 1 species
AAAAUUCCAAACUUCUCUCUGCUUGAUUAGGAUUGUGAAGUUUCUGUUAGGGUUCUGUGAGCUUCGAUGGCCUACUGUGUGCAUGACAAUUCAGUCGCAUGACUUGAGGGAAAACUCAUUCCUUGAUUCUCUAAUGAUCGAGAUUGUCAAAAGAUCUGGUAAGCUCCUUUUGAAAUGCAUUUGAACUUUGAAGUGUUACUCUACUCAGGAUGUAGCUGAGUUAACAAUCAAUCGCUUUUCCAUUAUUUCACAAGGUUUCAAGUGUUAUUCAGCCCUUUAGGGAUGCAGUUGCAUGGCAAAGUGGCAUAUAUAGAUGUGUCGUGAUUAAUGUUUCUCUUAUCCUUCUUUCUUUCUUUCUUUCUUUCUAUUAGUAUGUCCUUUGUUGUUUAUCCAAUGUCAUAUAACUAUCUGUUAAAAGCAAGAGCUGUAAAUCAUCAUUGCCUUUCUUUUGGGGAUUCACAUGAUAAUUCCAUUCCAGAUCUUUAAAGCGUAUAGUUUUUGUUGGUCUACUCAGGUGAUUUUUGUUUUUUCUUCGUGGCUUGAUGGAAGGCUAAGUGCUAACUAACUCUGGAAAGAAAAGAAUUGAUCUUUAGAAAUUAAAAGCAAUAAGGGUUCAACCAGUGAAGUACCCCAAAUGGUCUUCUCUCAGCUGCGCUUAUGAGUUUGGAUGCUGCAUAUAAGUAGCCAUUAUUCUGUCAAGUGCCUAUCUUUCUAUAGACUGUUACUCAGAGGAUAAAACUUACACUGAACAGUUUCUAAGGUUGAUAUUUGUGUGGUCACCCUGCAUAGAAUUCUAGAAUGAAUUUGUUAUCUCACACUUCCCCGCACAUUAUUUCAGCCUCUCAGGUGCCUUGAUUUAGCAAGCUGGACGGUUAGCGCAUUUAUGUGGACUCAUGAAAGUUACGUCAAUUAGCUAAACCAAGGUAACAUAGCUGGCUGGUUGGUACCUUCAAUAUGAGAACUAGCUUCCCCCCUGGUUUGUUGAAGACAUGCAAAGAACUUGAACUUACUUAGAAGCUGAACAUGUCCAUAACUGUUCGAGAAGACAAUGAGACAAAAGUCAAAACAAUGUUCAUCCUGCUAAUGUGUCUGGUGGAAACAGAAAAUUUGAGACAACGUUCACCCUGCUAGGAGCAAAACCUUGCUGAUGCGACCGCAACGAGCAGUCAGAAACCUGUUUACUAAUCACAAGCAAUCUUGAUCCUGUUUGUCUAUGGUUCAGAUAAAUUAGCAUGGCCGGAGCGGAGGAGACCCAUUGUUAAUUAGAGAUCAUGAAGAAUGGUUCAAAGGAGCAACUUGUGGAGUUCUCAUAAUUGGUUGGGUAAUGACCGUACGACCGCCAUAUGAUUUGUUCAUUUCAGCAAGAGACUGGAUGUGCUCGACGAUGUUUGACCAAGCAAGGGUAAAUUAGGUUACAAAGUAUCCAACUUUACCACCUUGGGGAUGAAACCUAAAGACCUAAUGCAUGGGCCGACGUUGAAGGUACAAAGAAUCCAUGCGAGAUUUAUCUAUUUGUGGUAACUGUAUUGGCAUCUAUACUACAGUUUGCUGAUUGCAUUCGUCAUCCAUCUCCAGAAAUUGUGGUGCUGGGGUAAUCGCUUUGAGCAACUGCAUCUGGCAAAGGGAAGAUGAGAUGAGCUUUGAUGCAGGACAGGCUAUGAAGGUAUGAAACGUUUUCAUAUGUGCUGCUCUCAUGAAGGUUUUUUUAUCCGACGAAUAUUUUAGCAUUUUAUUCGUCAAUGCUCAUACCCGCAUCCCAUGCAGAAAGCCUUUAUUUGUUGAAUAAAAGUGAAGUCAUUGAAGCAGGGAGCAUUUCCAACCUCAUGCUACCGUCCUCGCAUGAUAGACGCAAAAUGUUAAUGGAGAGGUUUCAGGAUGCCAUUUGCAAUUGAGUAACCAGUCGCCUUUGAAGAGCAAGCCAAAGAAUAAAACAAUAUACUUAUGAAUAACAAGGAUUUUCCACAGCAAAUCUGCCCAUGGAACAACAUCCUCCUGAUAUGCCGGAAGAUGAUUUAACGGUUUAGCUGGUUAGCUUAAUUGUUCAUCUCCUAUUGUGGCGGAAGCUAGAGCUCUUCUUGAGGCCAUGGAAUUUGCUAAGACUCAGGUCUAUAGUCAAGACUGACUAUCUGGCUCUUGUGCAAGCGUGUUCAGGGUGCGACAGUGACUGGCCAUGGCAGUGCUAAGCUUGGAUUAGCCGAAUCAAGGAGAUUUUACUUCAGUCAGACCAUAUAUAUGUUUAUCUUUUAUCCCGCUGAGUCUCAACCAUUUAGCGGCUUGGGUUGCUAAAUCAUGUAGAGCUGGUGGUUUGACUCCAAGGUGGAUCCAGAUUUUAUGUAUUACCAUGUAUAUUUGUAAGGCUUUGCCAUGGUUUAAGAUGAAUAAUACACACAUUUGUUUCAAAAAAAAACAUCCUCCUGAACCCGGAAAGUUUGGCACACAUUUGACUAUUUGAGACAGAAUACGUAGGCAUGUAAUUCCCGAGAUCCCAUUCCCGUCCUGUUUUCCACCCCUACAUUCGAGACAGAAUACUUAGGCACGUAAUGCCCCUGCCACAAGGGGGAAGCGUCGAUAUGCAUGAGACAAAUAAACGAAAACUGUCGCGGCAUCUGAUGGUUCGUCA